GAACUUGAAAACUACCGUUGGAUUGAAAAAUAGACGUAUAAGAUUUAUCCACGUUGUCACAAGUAAAAAUUUUACUCUCAGAUUAACUCAUGAGUAAAAAUUUUACUACGAGUAAUUUUUUUACUCAUAGAGACGAGGACGAAUUUCAGAUGUCCAUUUUUCAAUCCAACAAUAAAGUCUUUCCGUUU
rnacentral:pre_miRNA from 3 species